rnacentral:snRNA from 1 species
AGCUUGGCUGGCCUGGCUGGUAGGCCAGUGCCCCCUUCCUCCCUCCUGCUCCCAUUGCUCCUCCAGAGGCUGUAAGCUGGGUGCAGGAGGAACUCAUUCGUCAGGCAAGAGUGUACGAGUAGCCGUGCUCCUCAGCUAGAAUUUCACACAAGCUCUUCAAAUGUAAUAAGCUGGCUCUAAAAUCAAAUAGAAAUGCAAAGGGCCUAGAAUACCCAAAAUAAUUU